AUCCAGCUGACGAGUCCCAAAUAGGACAAAAUAUAUGUCCUAGAU
rnacentral:hammerhead_ribozyme from 1 species